GACGAACGCUGGCGGCGUGCUUAACACAUGCAAGUCGAACGGAAAGGCCCUGCUUGCAGGGUUCUCGAGUGGCGAACGGGUGAGUAACACGUGGGUGAUCUGCCCUGCACUUCGGGAUAAGCCUGGGCAACUGGGCCUAAUACCGGAUAGGAGCUAUUUUUAGUGUGAUGGUUGGAAAGUUUUUUCGGUGUAGGAUGAGCUCGCGGCCUAUCAGCUUGUUGGUGGGGUAAUGGCCUACCAAGGCGGCGACGGGUAGCCGGCCUGAGGGGGUGGACGGCCACAUUGGGACUGAGGGACGGCACAGACAGCUACGGGAGGCAGAAGGGGGAAAGAUUGCACGAUGGGCGCAAGCCUGGUGCAGCGGGGCCGCGGGGGGGAUGACGGCCUUCGGGUUGUAGACCCCAUUCGCUAGGGACGAAGCAUUUUGUGACGGUACCUAGAUAAGAAGCCCCGGCUAACUACGUG
rnacentral:rRNA from 1 species